GGGGGCGUAUUUGGUUUCGACGGGGAUACGGAGGACCCGAUAAGCGAGCGGCGGCCCUGAACCGCCUUAAAAACGGGAAACUUAAAAUGAACUGACGACUAUAACACUGUCGCCGUCGCGGCUUAAGCCGUGACCGUCGGCCCUGAGCCUCCUGCGGCGCAGGCAACCGGCGUCAUAAAAGCAGGGAACCAGCCCGCCUAAGCUUUGCGGCGGGUGGGAUUUAUGAAGCUACUGAAGCCAGCAUCCCGUCUGUGGGAGACCGGCGGAGGGAAUGUUAAAACGCAGACUGCGCUCGGAGAAAUUCUGGCCGUCUGAUCUUCGGACAGGGGUUCGACCCCCCUCGCCUCCACCA
rnacentral:tmRNA from 2 species